UACGUAGGGGGCAAGCGUUAUCCGGAUUUACUGGGUGUAAAGGGAGCGUAGACGGCAUGGCAAGUCAGAUGCGAAAGCCCGGGGCUCAACCCCGGGACUGCAUUUGAAACUGUCAGGCUGGAGUGCAGGAGAGGUAAGCGGAAUUCCUAGUGUAGCGGUGAAAUGCAUAGAUAUUAGGAGGAACACCAGUGGCGAAGGCGGCUUACUGGACUGUAACUGACGCUGAGGCUCGAAGGCGUGGGGAGCAAACAGG
rnacentral:rRNA from 1 species